rnacentral:tRNA from 1 species
GGGGAUUUAGCUCAGUGGUUCCAGCACCUGCCUCUCAAGCAGAAGGUCCCAAAUUCAAUCCCCG